CUGCAAGAGAAGAAAAGCUUAAUUACCUGAAAAAUAUAUCAGAGUGAAGGCACUUAUUCCAGGUUUUGCAUAUUCUAUCAUUGCAGCCUUAGUUCCAUGGUUCCACCCAACCUGGCGACAUUUGCACCACUCGCAGGCAUAUGCCAUGGGAUUCGAUGAAGAAGAGGAGCAGGUGUUGUUCACGGUCGUCGCUGAAGCGCAUAGGCCCUAGCAGCUGAAUCUGAGAAGCAUUUGGCAUGUACCAAGGGAUUCUAUUUUGGGAUCAAUUGAAUCCAAGGUGCACAAGGUAGUCUGUUUUGCCAAUGCCAUCGGGUGGCUUUCGGUUCACCGGCCACGUGACCAACUGUAAAACUAUAGCCGGAAACCAUGUCUAGGAGGCAGGCAUAUGUGAGUCUAACAUUUGUGUCCAAGUAAAUUCCUUGGUUCUCACCCGGUAUGAUGCACGUAAAAGGGGUCAUAUAUGCA